rnacentral:rRNA from 1 species
UACGAAGGGGGGCUAGCGUUGCUCGGAAUCACUGGGCGUAAAGCGCGCGUAGGCGGCCCGGUAAGUCCGCUGUGAAAGUCAAAGGCUCAACCUUUGAAUGUCAGCGGAUACUGCCGGGCUAGAGUCCGGAAGAGGCGAGUGGAAUUCCUGGUGUAGCGGUGAAAUGCGCAGAUAUCAGGAAGAACACCAAUGGCGAAAGCAGCUUUCUGGGACGGUACUGACGCUGGAGACGCGAAAGCGUGGGGAGCGAACGGG